UUUACCGAAUCCACGGACUCAAACCUCUCUUUUAUCUUCUCCGGAUCUCGCGCACACCAAUGGGUUGUCCACGCCCUACGUCCGAAUCCACGAACGCCACGUCCCGAAUCCACGAAACGUCCACACUUCGAAUCCACGAAGUCUUGAUCACGCCGAAUCCAUGACGCCCACUCGAAUCCACGAGCACACUCCGUCCGGAGCAAGAACAAUACGAUCUAUGAUGAUUUAUUGCUUAGAUAAUCAUGAAAGAGCCGUAGAAGAUAUUUCUAAGCAAUAGCCGGAUCAAUUCUCCAUG
rnacentral:lncRNA from 1 species